rnacentral:rRNA from 1 species
AACGAACGCUGGCGGCAGGCCUAACACAUGCAAGUCGAGCGAAGCCUUCGGGCUUAGCGGCGGACGGGUGAGUAACGCGUGGGAACGUGCCCUUUGGUACGGAAUAGCCCCGGGAAACUGGGAGUAAUACCGUAUGUGGUCGAGAGACGAAAGAUUUAUCGCCAAAGGAUCGGCCCGCGUUGGAUUAGGUAGUUGGUGGGGUAAUGGCCUACCAAGCCGACGAUCGGUAGCUGGUUUGAGAGGAUGAUCAGCAACACUGGGACUGAGACACGGCCCAGACUCCUACGGGAGGCAGCAGUGGGGAAUCUUAGACAAUGGGCGCAAGCCUGAUCUAGCCAUGCCGCGUGGGUGAUGAAGGCCUUAGGGUCGUAAAGCCCUUUCGCCGGGGAAGAUAAUGACGGUACCCGGUAAAGAAACCCCGGCUAACUCCGUGCCAGCAGCCGCAGUAACAC